GACUUCGUAGCGCAAUGGUAGCGCAUCUGACUCCAGAUCAGAAGGUUGCAUGUUCACAUCGUGUCGGCGUCA
rfam:Sus scrofa isolate TJ Tabasco breed Duroc chromosome 12, whole genome shotgun sequence.